UACGUAGGGGGCAAGCGUUGUCCGGAAUCAUUGGGCGUAAAGAGCGUGUAGGCGGCCAGAUAAGUCCGCUGUGAAAUCUCGAGGCUCAACUUCGAGCUGUCGGUGGAAACUGUCUCGCUAGAGUCCGGAAGAGGAGAAUGGAAUUCCUGGUGUAGCGGUGAAAUGCGCAGAUAUCAGGAAGAACACCCGUGGCGAAGGCGGUUCUCUGGGACGGUACUGACGCUGAGACGCGAAAGCGUGGGGAGCGAACAGG
rnacentral:rRNA from 1 species